rnacentral:rRNA from 1 species
UACGUAGGGUGCGAGCGUUGUCUGGAAUUAUUGGGCGUAAAGGGCUCGUAGGCGGUUUGUCACGUCGGGAGUGAAAACUCGGGGCUUAACCCCGAGCCUGCUUCCGAUACGGGCUGACUAGAGGUAUGCAGGGGAGAACGGAAUUCCUGGUGUAGCGGUGAAAUGCGCAGAUAUCAGGAGGAACACCGGUGGCGAAGGCGGUUCUCUGGGCAUUACCUGACGCUGAGGAGCGAAAGUGUGGGGAGCGAACAGG